GAUGAACGCUGGCGGCGUGCCUAAUACAUGCAAGUCGAGCGAACGGACGAGAAGCUUGCUUCUCUGAUGUUAGCGGCGGACGGGUGAGUAACACGUGGAUAACCUACCUAUAAGACUGGGAUAACUUCGGGAAACCGGAGCUAAUACCGGAUAAUAUUUUGAACCGCAUGGUUCAAAAGUGAAAGACGGUCUUGCUGUCACUUAUAGAUGGAUCCGCGCUGCAUUAGCUAGUUGGUAAGGUAACGGCUUACCAAGGCAACGAUGCAUAGCCGACCUGAGAGGGUGAUCGGCCACACUGGAACUGAGACACGGUCCAGACUCCUACGGGAGGCAGCAGUAGGGAAUCUUCCGCAAUGGGCGAAAGCCUGACGGAGCAACGCCGCGUGAGUGAUGAAGGUCUUCGGAUCGUAAAACUCUGUUAUUAGGGAAGAACAUAUGUGUAAGUAACUGUGCACAUCUUGACGGUACCUAAUCAGAAAGCCACGGCUAACUACGUGCCAGCAGCCGCGGUAAUACGUAGGUGGCAAGCGUUAUCCGGAAUUAUUGGGCGUAAAGCGCGCGUAGGCGGUUUUUUAAGUCUGAUGUGAAAGCCCACGGCUCAACCGUGGAGGGUCAUUGGAAACUGGAAAACUUGAGUGCAGAAGAGGAAAGUGGAAUUCCAUGUGUAGCGGUGAAAUGCGCAGAGAUAUGGAGGAACACCAGUGGCGAAGGCGACUUUCUGGUCUGUAACUGACGCUGAUGUGCGAAAGCGUGGGGAUCAAACAGGAUUAGAUACCCUGGUAGUCCACGCCGUAAACGAUGAGUGCUAAGUGUUAGGGGGUUUCCGCCCCUUAGUGCUGCAGCUAACGCAUUAAGCACUCCGCCUGGGGAGUACGACCGCAAGGUUGAAACUCAAAGGAAUUGACGGGGACCCGCACAAGCGGUGGGGCAUGUGGUUUAAUUCGAAGCAACGCGAAGAACCUUACCAAAUCUUGACAUCCUUUGACAACUCUAGAGAUAGAGCCUUCCCCUUCGGGGGACAAAGUGACAGGUGGUGCAUGGUUGUCGUCAGCUCGUGUCGUGAGAUGUUGGGUUAAGUCCCGCAACGAGCGCAACCCUUAAGCUUAGUUGCCAUCAUUAAGUUGGGCACUCUAAGUUGACUGCCGGUGACAAACCGGAGGAAGGUGGGGAUGACGUCAAAUCAUCAUGCCCCUUAUGAUUUGGGCUACACACGUGCUACAAUGGACAAUACAAAGGGCAGCGAAACCGCGAGGUCAAGCAAAUCCCAUAAAGUUGUUCUCAGUUCGGAUUGUAGUCUGCAACUCGACUACAUGAAGCUGGAAUCACUAGUAAUCGUAGAUCAGCAUGCUACGGUGAAUACGUUCCCGGGUCU
rnacentral:rRNA from 1 species